AAUUUAUAUGGAGGAACAGGUACCAUCGCCUACGGGCAUGGUUGAAAAGAGAAGCCGGUAAGAGCCGGCGCGGUCCCGCCACUGUGAGGGGAGCGAACCUGCAAGACGUCACUGGAGCACUCUGGGAAGGCGCAGGCGAGCGAUGAACCGAGCCAGGAGAACUGCCUGUUUGACAAUCACCGU
rnacentral:ncRNA from 2 species